rnacentral:rRNA from 1 species
CCAUGUGCCUACAAUCCGUCAAAGCCUCCUUGUGGGGUGAUGGCGUGCCUUUUGAAGAAUGAGCCUGCGAGUCAGGGACACGUCGCGAGGUUAACCCGUGUGGGGUAGCCGUAGCGAAAGCGAGUCUGAAUAGGGCGCCCAUAGUGGCGUGUUCUGGACCCGAAGCGGAGUGAUCUACCCAUGGCCAGGGUGAAGCGGCGGUAAGACGCCGUGGAGGCCCGAACCCACUUAGGUUGAAGACUGAGGGGAUGAGCUGUGGGUAGGGGUGAAAGGCCAAUCAAACUCCGUGAUAGCUGGUUCUCCCCGAAAUGCAUUUAGGUGCAGCGUCGCGUGUUUCUUGUUGGAGGUAGAGCUACUGGAUGGCCGAUGGGCCCUACUAGGUUACUGACGUCAGCCAAACUCCGAAUGCCAAUAAGUUAGAGCGCGGCAGUGAGACGGCGGGGGAGAAGCUCCGUACGUCGAGAGGGAAACAGCCCAGAUCGCCGGCUAAGGCCCCUAAGCGUGUACUAAGUGGAAAAGGAUGUGCAGUCGCGAAGACAACCAGGAGGUUGGCUUAGAAGCAGCCACCCUUGAAAGAGUGCGUAAUAGCUCACUGGUCAAGUGAUUGUGCGCCGACAAUGUAGCGGGGCUCAAGUACACCGCCGAAGCCGCGGCAUUCAUGCAAUACAUUCCCUUCGGGGCAGUGGCAUGGAUGGGUAGGGGAGCGUCCUGCACCCAGCGAAGCUGCGAAGUAAUUCAGCAGUGGAGGGUGCGGGAGUGAGAAUGCAGGCAUGAGUAGCGACAGGCAAGUGAGAAACUUGCCCGCCGAAUGACCAAGGGUUCCUGGGCCAGGCUAGUCCUCCCAGGGUAAGUCGGGACCUAAGGCGAGGCCGACAGGCGUAGUCGAUGGACAACGGGUUGAUAUUCCCGUACCCGUGUGUGCGCGCCCAUGAUGAAUCAUCGGUACUAACCACCCAAAAGGUUCUAGAUCAAUCUCUUCGGAGUGCGACGUGAACCCGCUGCGUGGGACCUUCGGUGGUAGUAGUCAAGCGAUGGGGUGACGCAGGAAGGUAGCUGUACCGGUUAGUGGUUAUACCGGAGCAAGCCCGUAGGACGACAUCUAGGCAAAUCCGGGUGUCAUACGUCUGAGAGGUGACGCAUAGCCGAUUGAGGCGAAUUCAGUGAUCCUAUGCUGCCAAGAAAAGCCUCUAGUGAGUUCACACACGGCCCGUACCCCAAACCAACACAGGUGGUCAGGUAGAGAAUACUAAGGCGUACGAGAUAACUAUGGUUAAGGAACUCGGCAAAAUACCCCCGUAACUUCGGGAGAAGGGGGACCUCGCUUGGUGACCGGACUUGCUCCGUGAGCUGAACGAGGUCGCAGAGACCAGUGAGAAGCGACUGUUUACUAAAAACACAGGUCCGUGCGAAGUCGCAAGACGAUGUAUACGGACUGACGCCUGCCCGGUGCUGGAAGGUUAAGAGGACCCGUUAACCCUUGGGUGAAGCGGAGAAUUUAAGCCCCAGUAAACGGCGGUGGUAACUAUAACCAUCCUAAGGUAGCGAAAUUCCUUGUCGGGUAAGUUCCGACCUGCACGAAUGGCGUAACGA